CCCGCCGAAUUCGUGUGAGGCGGGCAGUUAGAUCGUAGGCUCGGUAGAGGCGUCGGAGUUCUGCUGCGGACCGGUUGCAACUGGGGUGGGUACCUACCUAUAAGACUGGAAUAACUCCGGGAAACCGGGGCUAAUGCGGGAUAAUAUUUAGAACCGCAUGUUUCUAAAGUGAAAGAUGGUUUUGCUAUCACUUAUAGAUGGACCCGCGCCGUAUUAGCUAGUUGGGGGGGUAAUGGCUUACCAAGGCAACGAUACGUAGCCGACCUGAGAGGGUGAUCGGCCACACUGGAACUGAGACACGGUCCAGAUUCCUACGGGAGGCAGCAGUAGGGAAUCUUCCGCAAUGGGCGAAAGCUUACCGGAGCAACCCCGCGGGAGUGAUGAAGGUCUUCGAAUGGUAAAACUUUGUUAUUAGGGAAGAACAAAUGUGUAAGUAAUUGUGACGUCUUGACGGGACUUAAUCAAAAAGCCACGGCUAACUACGGGCCAGCGCCGCGGUAAUACGGUAGGGGGAAGCGUUUUCCCGGAUUUUUGGGCGGAAAGCGCCGCCGAGGGGUUUUUCUUAGUCCUGUGUGGAAACCCACGGGUUCACCGGGGGGGGUCUUUUGGAACUGGAAAAACUGAGUCCCAGAGAGGGAAAGGGGAUUCCUGGUUGUAUAGGGGAAUCGGGAGAGGAUAUGGGGAACCCCCAGGGGGGAGGCAAAUUUCUGUUGAAUGACUGAGGCAAGGGGGAAUCAACGGUGGGGUUAGUCCCGGAUGCCACCCUAACAAGGUCUAGUUUAGGGUUUCGCUUUAGUCUGCUAAGGGGCUUAAGCUCCCUUAGGCUGGGGUAGACGCAGUGAAGACUAAGAAUGCGGGACCAUCAGGGGAGCUGGGUAAUCGAAAGGAAUUACGGAAACUACGCAUGAGCUUGGAAUAAUAGAGUCUUCUUUCGGAAAAAAAGGAACAGCCUUAUCUCUCCUAAUUGUCCUCGACAGCACUUGGUAUGCAAUAGUGGCUAAUCCGCGGCAACGGUAAGAGAUGCAACUUGCCCCUAUUCAGCUCGU
rnacentral:rRNA from 1 species